rnacentral:rRNA from 1 species
UGCUUAACACAUGCAAGUCGAGCGAGAAAGUUCCUUCGGGAAUGAGUAAAGCGGCGGACGGGUGAGUAACGCGUGAGAACCUGCCCUUCAGUGAGGAAUACCUCCGAGAAAUAGGAGCUAAUACUGCAUACGUCCCUACGGGGAGAAAGGUGGCUUUAUGCUGCCGCUGAAGAAUGGGCUUGCGUACUAUUAGCUAGUUGGUGGGGUAAUGGCCUACCAAGGCAAUGAUGGUUAACCGGCCUGAGAGGGUGUACGGUCACAUUGGAACUGAGAUACGGUCCAGACUCCUACGGGAGGCAGCAGUGAGGAAUAUUGCGCAAUGGGCGAAAGCCUGAUGCAGCGACGCCGCGUGAAGGAUGAAGGUCUUCGGAUUGUAAACUUC